rnacentral:tRNA from 1 species
AUUGAAGCGCGACAAAUGGGAACCAAGGACUGAAAAUCCUGGUGUCGGGGGUUCGAUUCCCCCUCUGCCCA